rnacentral:rRNA from 1 species
GAUUUCUGACCUGAAACAUUUUGCCGGCCACGGUUUCGUGUGUUAGUGCUUGAUGUUCUGGUCAUCCUUCCAAUCGCUAUCUGUUUCUCUUCAUUGAUUAGCAGGUGGUAUUGGAUCUUUUACUUUGAAAAAAUUAGAGUGUUUCAAGCAGGCUAUUGCUAUGAAUACAUUAGCAUGGAAUAAUAAUUUAGGACUUCGGUUCUAUUUUGUUGGUUUCUAGGACUGAAGUAAUGAUUGAUAGGGAUAGUUGGGGGUGCUAGUAUUCAGCGGCCAGAGGUGAAAUUCUUGGAUUCGCUGAAGACUAACUUAUGCGAAAGCAUU